rnacentral:rRNA from 1 species
GACGAACGCUGGCGGCGUGCCUAAUACAUGCAAGUAGAACGCAGUUGCGAACGGGUGAGUAACGCGUAGGUAACUGCCUGGUAGCGGGGGAUAACUAUUGGAAACGAUAGCUAAUACCGCAUACUACCAGAUGGACCUGCGUUGUAUUAGCUAGUUGGUGAGGUAACGGCCCACCAAGGCAACGAUACAUAGCCGAGCUGGGAGGGGGGUCGGCCCAACCGGGAAUGGGACACGGGCCAGACUCCUGCGGGAGGCAGGAGGAGGGAAUCUUCGGCAAUGGGGGGAACCCUGGCCGAGCAAAGGCGCGGGAGUGAAGAAAGUUUUCGGAUCGGAAAGCUCUGUUGUUAAGGAAGCGGUACUUAACCAGAAAGGGACGGCUAACUACGUGCCAGCCGCCGCGGUAAUAC